CAGUAGCCGCGGUAAUACCGAGGGUGCGAGCGUUAAUCGGAUUUACUGGGCGUAAAGCGUGCGUAGGCGGCUUCUUAAGUCGGAUGUGAAAUCCCUGAGCUUAACUUAGGAAUUGCAUUCGAUACUGGGAAGCUAGAGUAUGGGAGAGGAUGGUAGAAUUCCAGGUGUAGCGGUGAAAUGCGUAGAGAUCUGGAGGAAUACCGAUGGCGAAGGCAGCCAUCUGGCCUAAUACUGACGCUGAGGUACGAAAGCAUGGGGAGCAAACAGGAUUAGAUACCCCAGUAGUCCCUGUCUCUUAUAA
rnacentral:rRNA from 1 species